CCCUUAGAUGUUCUGGGCCGCACGCGCGCUACACUGACGAAUGCAACGAGCUUAUAACCUUGGCCGAAAGGUCUGGGUAAUCUCCAAAUUUCGUCGUGAUGGGGAUAGAUUAUUGCAAUUAUUAAUCUUCAACGAGGAAUGCCUAGUAAGCGCAAGUCAUCAGCUUGCGUUGAUACGUCCCUGCCCUUUGUACACACCGCCCGUCGCUCCUACCGAUUGAAUGGUCCGGUGAAGCGUUCGGACCGUGGCCUUUGGACGGUUCGCCGUCUGUUGGCUGCGGGAAGUUCGUUAAACCUUAUCAUUUAGAGGAAGGAGAAGUCGUAACA
rnacentral:rRNA from 1 species